rnacentral:lncRNA from 1 species
GAAAUGGGGAAUGUGUCAAAGAGACAACAACCUGACCAAAUAAAAAAAAACAACAGCAGAAGGUCACCAACAGGUCUUCAAUGUAGCGAGAAAUUCCCGCACCCGGAGGCGUCCUUCAGCUGGCCCCUAAAUAAAUAUAUACUAGUUCAGUGAUAAUGAACGCCAUACUAAUUUCCAAAUUGUACACAAGAAACUAAAAUUAAAAUAAUACAAGACUAACAAAGGCCAGAGGCUCCUGACUUGGGACAGGCGCAAACAUGCGGCGGGGUUAAACAUGUUUUGUGAGAUCUCAACCCUCCCCCUAUACCUCUAACCAAUGUAGAAAAGUAAACGCAUAACAAUACGCACAUUAAAAUUCAGUUCAAGAGAAGUCCGA